GAGGUGGAUGUUGGUGGGAUGGCAGUAGAGGCUGAAUCUUCCUACCAAUGUCCCAUUACAUUUUGUUGCAGUGUGACAGAUGAAAGCAGAGAGGCGGUCUGACACAAUGGUGUCUGACAUGGAAGUGCAUAUGAAGAAAAGUGGUACAAUUGAAUUUCUCUGUGCAGAAAAAGUGGUGCCCAUUGACAUUCAUUGAAACAUGCAGAACGUUUAUGGAGACCAGAAAAUGAAUGUGACCACAGUGAGGUGGUAGCAGGUGAACUUCCACGGUGGUGGAACUCCUAGAUCCACAACAGUGUAUCAUUUGUGCUGGUGCAGAUUUUUACAAGUGAGACAAGUGGACUCUUGUUCAUUGCUAGUGAAAAUGCAUAACUGAUAGUGGUGUCUGCAUUACUUUUGGAGCAACCUAUGUAUGUUCAGUCAUUAGGUACUGCUGAUACUUUUAAUGAGAGACUAAAUAGUAAAAGAAGCUUAGCAUAGUAUAGGAUCUUUGACAUAAACAUUUGUAGUGGUUUGACUCUGCAGGUGGCUCAGUACCACACAGUCAUUCACUCACUCUCUGCCUUCCCAGUGGAACACUGGAGAGAAUUGGAAAAACAAAAGUAGAACUUGUGAGUUGAGAUAUAACUAUUUGCUAAGAUAGAGGGAAAAAAGAAAAAAAGAAAAAAGAUAAUAGCUAUGACAAUAUAUAUAUACAUAUUUAUGAACGUAUAUAACAAGUGAUGCACAAGCAAUUGCUUACCACCUUCCAGCUGAUGCCCAGCUAGCCCCUUGAGCAGCAAAAGAGAGCACGAUGAACUCCCACUCCCUUCAAAACUCUUUCUACAUGAUGUCAUAUGAUAUAGAAUAUCUGUUUGGCCAGUUUAAAUCAGCUAUCCAAAUUCUGUUCUCUCCCAGCUCCUUAGGCCUCUUGCUUCAAACGGCCUUGGCUCUGUGCAUCACUGCUUAGCCACAACUAUAAACAUCAGUGUGUUAUCAACACUGUUUUUCUCCUAGAACCAAAAGAUAUCAUCAUACCAGACACUCUGAAGAAAACAAUUCAGAUCCAGCUGAAACUAAGACAAAGUUGCAUUAAAAAGUUGUGUGUAUCCUCUAAGGGAAACAUCUGUUCUGAAUAACAGUGAGGGUAGAAACUGUUUCUGCAGUCAUAGAAGAUUGCCAUUCCAUCCCAGACAAACAUGCAAAGGAAACAACUUUUCUCCCGUUCCUGGGAAGGAGGGCAGUAUGAAGCUGGGGCAAAACAGAGCUAGACACCAAGCAGUUAUGGCAAGUGUAAUAAUGAACGGAGCCAAUGGUAGUGGCAACUAUUACACAGUUAUCAUGGGGGAAUCCCAGACCCCAAUGAGCAUGUAUGGUACCAUGAAGACACCUGAACUUCUGUGGUUACUGGGGUCAAUUGAUUUUUAACAAGUUCUAUUGUAUUGCUUUAUGGUUUGAUCAACAGCUAGGUUUUAUUGGAAAAGGACCAUUUGAAAAGCCAUACCUACUGAACAGAUGAAACAAGCUACUUGGUCUAUAGUGUCAAGCAGUUUGAUGCACCAGACUUAGUCGAUUUCCUUGUGGGUGAUCACUGAGCAAUGUGGUCUCUGAAGGUGAGGAAGCUGAUCAGCUCAUUCACACAGCACCAGUCUCAUGAUUACUCAGUCCCACAUAGAAAGCAGAAGACGAAAACAAACAAACAGCGACAAAAUGUGCCUACCAGGACAAAAUGCAUGUCUCUUCUGUGCUAGCUACCUAAGUAAGUGUGGUAGGGUGCAUGCCAAGGAAGAAGACUGUGUUUGCAGAGGGCAUAGGAAAACUCAGCAGCAACAAAAAGGAGAAACAGCUGAAUUGCAUCUGUAUAUUCCGCCCUCUGCCAUUUCAAAUGCUUCUUUCUUCACAGUGAAGGGGAGGACUGUGCAGAGCCUUCCAUGCUGAGCUGCUAAAUGAAUUUUUCUUCAUGAAGGCUGGGGGGGAAAUGAGGCUGCCAGUGACUCCCAUCUUCAACUAUUGGAGUGUAAUUGUGCCCAGGGCCAGGCAGCUGCUGCUUCCUGCCCCGAAAUGGAAAGGCAGCAGUGCUUGUAUUUUUAAGGAGGAUUUUGACUGAAGCAAAAUAAAGCAGUGGCAAAACAUACAAACAGAGCUUAAUGAGAAGGCUCUUGAUUCUUUUCUUCAUAUUGGAAGGAAAAAGAAAAGCUCAGAGACAGACAGCAGUCACAGCUGAAUCUUGUAGGAAAAAAAGAUUUCAUGGGGCUGGAGGAGCUUGGACAGCUGGGGACAAGAAGGUUAAAAAAUAAAAAAGUCAGCAAACCUGGCACUAAUUACUAAUAAUUAAAAGCUAGGACCAGGAGAAAGCUCAUAUCCCAUUUCUUCUUUGUGUAAUAUAUGGGGACUCCUUGCCCUCUGAAGUUUGCCCAUAUACUGCCAUGAGGAUGCUACCCUUGUCUGUACUGAGCAGGGUAGUGUUCUCCAUGGGCAAAUAUCCAUCCCCAAAAGUGCCACACAGCCCAGUAAUGCUCUGUUUUAACUACUCUUAGAAAACACACAGAUUUCUCUGCUGUGUCACAGUGUGCCAUGUGUCCACACUGCAGAGGCCUUGAGGAACCCUGGGAAUACAGUUGUUAUAUCUUGUCCAGUAUUUUCUUCAUUCUGUGGCUCAUCUGUCCUGUUCGUUUGCCUCUCACCUGGCUGUCACUGCCCUACCCUGCUCUCUCCAGUUCUUCAGUAGCACAACCAGUGAAGCAAUCCUGAGGCAACAGCAAAUUGUUUUAUAACACUGACCCUAAAAUGGGAGUGUCCUGUGUGCCCCGAGAGGCAAAAUGCCAUGGAGAUCUUCAUGAUGUGAUACAGUAAGCAGAUAAUCCAAUUUCAGCUUCAAAUCAUGGUCCAUUCAAAAAGAGAUUCACAUUCUUUUAUCAAGAAUCUCAAAAUGGGAGGGUUUCUCAUAGGUUUCCCUUUAAUGCAUGCCAUACGUUUGCCCUGAGCAGGGAAGCUAGCACCCCUAAAAAAUCUAAAAAGGGAGAGGCAUUAGCCACGCAGAAAAGUAUAUUUUUCUCCAUUAUCUAUGGUUUAUAUUUAUUCCUGACAAAGUGAUCUGGCUUGAGAAGAUGUUGCCCAACAUCAUCUAAUGCAACUGAGAGCUGAUGAGAGUAGAACAGCAACAAAUGUUCUUGCUAGUUCUCACAAACUUGGGAUAAAUUAUCAAAAAAAAAGGCUUGUUCUAAAUAUUAAUAUCACUAGAAGUCCCUAUGCCUAUGAAAAAAAUAUGUGGAAGUAGUUCUGAUAAUGUUGAAAGUAAGAUUAUUCCUGACCAGGAACUCUGCACGAGGAAAAAUAAGAAGAAAGAAAAAAAAAGAGGUCUGCAUAGCAUUACCAUAGAGAAGCCUUGUCAAGAGAAUGUUUUCCUUUGCUUUUCCAUUUUAGUGUUAGAGAUGUGUGUCUUGAACUGCUAAUUCUACCACCCAGCAAAAUAGAGAAAACUUCAGGUGCUGGGAGAUUGAAACACACUUCAUUCCUUUGAUGGACAUAAUUUACUGUAUCUCUAAGUGCAUCUUGGCUCCUUCUCAUAGGUUAUUGGAUACCUUGCAACCCAGGAAGGAGGGCAGGGGAAAACCAACAGCUUAUGUAGCACCUACUUGGAUUUGACCUUUUGGGUCCAAAUCCCUUGCAGAAGGUUAAAUAGAUGCAACUGUUUGGAGUAAAUUCUCUUCCGAAUAUAGCAACUUCCAGCUUUCCCUUCUGCAUGAAUUCUCCAUAUCAACAUUCUCCAGCCGUCUCAAACACACCAGUUGUUCUGCAAGUGGUUUGGCUUUCCAAAUCACUGUCAUGACAUUUACAGAAGAAGCUCCCACAGCUCCUCCAUCAUUUCUUUAUUUUCCUUCUGUGACCUUUUUCCAGUUUGUCUCCUGGAACACCUUUUCCUCCUCCUCUAUUCCUAUUUUUCUCUCCAAAUGGCACUGGUCAUCUCUCUGUGCCUAAUUAUGCUCAAACCACGGCUGUUGUAGAAGCUUUUUCCCCUUGUAUCUCCCACCAUCUGGAACAGAGUCUUUUUUUCUGUUGUUUCUUUCUGCCUCACUGCCUCUCCAUCUACUUUCAAAUCUCAUCUGAAAACAUCUCUGCUCCCAUGCCUGUGCCUCUUAAUUUCUCUCUCCCUCU
ensembl:lncRNA